GCAGUGGUGAUUCAGUGAUAGACUGCUUGCCUUCCAUGUGGGAGACUUGGGUUUGAUUCCUAGCCAGUGCA
rnacentral:tRNA from 1 species